rnacentral:rRNA from 1 species
UGCGCAGGUGGGUUGGCAAGUUUGACGUGAAAGCCCCGGGCUUAACCCGGGAAUGGCGUUGAAAACUGCUGAUCUGGAGGAUCGGAGGGGGGACGUGGAAUUCUUGGUGUAGCAGUGAAAUGCGUAGAUAUCAAGAGGAACACCAGUGGCGAAGGCGAGUCCCUGGACGAUACCUGACACUGAGGCACGAAAGCCAAGGGAGCAAAC